rnacentral:rRNA from 1 species
GGCGUCUAUUCUGCUGUUUCCGCCGCAUCUGCGGUGCUGAAGCGACAGGGCGGGCGUCUUUUCGGCCAGCCUGACUCCAUAUUCACCCAUGUCUUUUGCGUACUACUUGUUUCCUUGGUGGGUUCGCCCACCAACAGGACCAUUUAAACCUUUUUGUAAUUGCAAUCAGCGUCAGCAAAACAAUGUAAUAAAUUACAACUUUCAACAACGGAUCUCUUGGUUCUGGCAUCGAUGAAGAACGCAGCGAAAUGCGAUAAGUAGUGUGAAUUGCAGAAUUCAGUGAAUCAUCGAAUCUUUGAACGCACAUUGCGCCCUUUGGUAUUCCAAAGGGCAUGCCUGUUCGAGCGUCAUUUGUACCCUCAAGCUUUGCUUGGUGUUGGGCGUUUUUGUCUCUGGUCCGCCAGCGACUCGCCUUAAAAUCAUUGGCAGCCGGCCUACUGGUUUCGGAGCGCAGCACAAAUUUGCGCUUCUUCCAGCAGCGGUCCGCGUCCAUGAAGCCACUUUUUCAACGUUUGACCUCGGAUCAGGUAGGGAUACCCGCUGAACUUAAGCAUAUCAAA